GGAGAGAAUAAGGGAUAAUCGGGGAGCCUGCAUGUACAAUAUGACAUAAUAGCCCGGGGAUGGGCUGCCUGGGGGAGACCUCUUAUAAUUAGGCAAUGUGUAAGAGACAGGUGCCACAGCCACACAGUGACCGGGGGAGAGAGACUGCAUAUUAUACAGAGAGAGGGGGUGAGACUGAGGAAACACUGCGUCUAAUUCCAACAGGGAAAUGGACCAAAUUCUGCUAUUCACAGGAAGACAGCGAGAGGUGAGAGUAUAUCCAAUAGGCAGCACAGGGAGGGAGGAUACACCUCAUAGCGGGAGAGAGAGAGAGAGAGGGAGGGCUGCAGCAUGUAGCACUGAGUGGGAGACACGGAGGAGAGAGAGUCACUGGCACCCGGCACAGAAGACUGCAAUAUCAGGGCCGCGGUGCACAGCAGCAGGUGCAUGUAUGUAAUGGUGAAGGGGACAUACUGCAAACUAUGUCACUGAGAUAGCAAGCCAGACAGCAUGUAUACCAUAGGGGAGACUGCAUGUAUCGGGAGAGAGGAGACUGCAUGUACAGUAUGACAGAAGGAGUGACAGGAGACAGCAUUUAUUAUAUAGAGGAGAGGAGACUGCAUGUAUACCAUGGAGAGAGGAGACAGCAUGCAUGGCAUACAGUAUGUGGGGUGAGACAGGAGACAGCAUGUACAGAAUGACAGGGAAAGUGAAAGGAGACAGCAUGUGUAACAUGGAGAGAGGAGAUGUGGCAUCCCAAACUCCCCUGGCAGGUGUCAGCCAAGCAUCAGAUUGCAAGGGUUAACAAAAUCCCCUCUGUGACAUCACUAGCCCCUGUCUGCCCCGUGAUUGGAUGACCCUUGAUCCGGUGGGCGGGGGGUCUGAUGAGGACAAAAGAAACAACAUGUGUGUGCGUGUGGGAAGUGGAGAGCCGGGCUGGGACGGAGAAAGAAGUUCCCUGCUUCAGGGAGAGGAAUGGGCCCGCAGGGCUGAGGACUGACGGCUACGUGAAGUAGCGCAAGCAUAGGGGAAGCGGCCGCAGACAGGUGAGCGGUGUCAGAGCAGUAAGCCGGUGCGGGCACACAGAAGUGGCCGCAGACAGCGGGGACGUGAGCGGCGCAGACAGAGGAUUCUAGGAGCCAGGCGCAGUGUGUUGCAGCAGAGCGCCGUUGAGGGCGGACCCUGGCACACCGAAGAGAAGCCACCGUGAAGGACCCAACUGGAGGUGCUGCCGACUAGGUGCUGGGGUAAGCCACCAAGUCAGGUGAUUGAGACCACUGCUGCCUGCUUCCAGCUAAUGCUGUGCGCUCCCCACCAACUGCUAAAGCCAGACUGUUACACUAGUGCUGCCUUAUGCCUCGUCUCCCUCCUCACAUUGCACUGCCCGGGAGUUACGGAUUUUCUCACUCUCACAAACUUUGUGUCUUCUGCUUAUUGCUUCAUCCACCCCCUCCUCCACAUUGCAUUACACUGCUUACUGCUAAUCCAACGCCUCCUGGAACUCUGCUUAUUGCCUUACUCUCUCCCCCCCCCCCCCAAAGGGCAUUGUGCGAUUGAACCCCCAUUCUGCGGACAGAAUUGUUUCUUGCCCACAGAAAACUUUAUAGCCCUGGAGGCUGUUCAGUGCUGACCCUUGCAGAGAUUAAUGAUGCACUGCCUCCUUGUGGACAGUUUAUAAAAAAGUAUGUGGACUGAUGUUAAAGGACAAUUGAACAAACCCUCGUUUUAAUUACUAAGGGAAAUGUAUCAGUUGUGUUUAUAUUGAAUGUGCAAAUGUACUGUACUAACUGAGAUUAUAUUGAACUAUGCAAGUAUCCUAACUACUAGCAUUGUGAUUCCCUUCUCACUUUAAAUAAAACAAUAGUUCCUGCUUUAACGAGUAGGGACUGUCUGUGGGGGGGGGUCCCCAGGGAUUGUCUUCAUCCCUCUGCAAAAACACCCAGGAGACGCAGCCCGGUGGUAUUCAGGAGGCUGAAGCUGACAACCGUGGGAAGAAAAAGGCUGCCAGAGGAGCCGACUCUGGAACAGGCAACAUACAGCUGGCCAUGGGAGAAGCCGUCAUUCCUCAGAUCCACACCAGCCACUUUGACACUCUGCCCCUGAGCUUUGUUAGUGGUCAUGGUCUAGCAGAACUUCACCAGGAACUGCAACCGUUUGAACUGGAAAUAGUAGUCUGCUGGGAACAGAGGAAUUCUCGGAAUGAAGACAGUUUCAGAACAGUAAAUAUACUUGCUGAGUUUGUCAUCACUGCCAUCGUAAUCAUCAUCAUCAUCAUCAUCAUCAGGACAUAUCUUUACACCAGCAUUUGGAGACACACAAUACGCCUCCUAAGAGGAGUAUCAGGAGAUGCCGGCAAGUAAUCUGUUCAGCAUUUCUUGCCUGUCCAGGCAUGAUGAGCCUCAAACCUACACACUGAACAAGUGGCUGGAGAUCAUUAUCCUCAUACUGUGGUUCAGUAAAGCUACCCAUUUGUUGUAUUCAGUGGAGGAACUUUAAUAAAUAAUCUUACAGUAUAUCUGUUUUCUCCUUUUUCUGAGUACCACGGCUGUAACUGAAAUCAAUUGUAUCCUGGCUGACUGGGAAAGCUGAUACACAGCAGGCAGUACUAAAGGAGGGUCAGAAGAGUAAAACCGGACACUGGAGAUAGUUGAAUUUUAUUACUAUGUUUUCACUAAGGGCUCAUAAUCUAGUUUUAUGACUGCCAAGUAAUAAAUGAAUCAAUUACA